rnacentral:lncRNA from 1 species
CAUUACUAGCUGUUGGCUGUGGAAGUGAAAAUGUAGAGGCUGGCGAGGCAAGGCCAUAGAAAUGAGGAAAUACAAUUACAGGAAUUGAUCAUGGACAGUUUUUGAGAAGGGAAAGAAAACUCAAGGGAGACAAACACCAACACAUCUCAGGAACAAAAAAGACAGAGGUUUGAGAAAAGUGUUCUUUCCUUUACUUUCUAGUUCUGCUUAUUAUUUGUUGCUGUUUUGGUGUUUGGGUUUUUUUUUUUAUGAAACAAUGCAUUUCUUUUAUCUUCCCCUCUUCCUUUUCAUCUUCUUUCUUAAAUGUCUCAUUAGUUUCUGCUGUGGAGUUGUGCAAGAUGAAACGUUGUCAGCCUGUGCUGAUGAAUACCUCUCUGCAAACCUUACAUAAUCCAUCCCAGCCCCAAAUCAGAUGCUUCCUGCAGGUGGAAUGCUUGGGCUGGCUGCAUGGUAGAGGCCUGAGGAUGGUUCAGGAAAAUGUCCAUGGUGGAGCCAGAGGAGGCCUUGGGGGCUGCAGUGGUGAAGGCCUAAAUUUCCAAAUAUUUCAGUUUUCCUCGCUCUGUCCCGAGUGCCAGAGCAAAGGGACCUGCUUUUCUCUUCCCCGUUUCUCCCACUAG